GAUCAAGGGUUGAUUGAAGAUGGAUCAAGGAGUUGAUCACAAUUGGACCUAGAGGAUCAAGAUCGAGUCAAGAGUUGAAGACGAUCAAACCAAUUGACGUGCAUGUGCUUGUAAAAUGACCCCAUCCUGGAUCCAUGAUCAUCACCAUUUAAUUUUAUUUUUGAUAAAUGCCUGGAUGUUUAAUGCUUAUGAUUAUGCGGGUAGACUUAUAUUUGCAUGAGAUGUGAAUACGCGAUCGAGUGAGACCUAAAUCGAAACCUCCCUAAUCUGUCGAGGGUG
rnacentral:lncRNA from 1 species